rnacentral:lncRNA from 1 species
GACCUGCUGAGCCAUUCUGUACUCUCUUGAGGUGCCCUGACAUCACACCUGGUAAAGGGAAAGAAUCAAGUACUUGUCUUCUCAUUCUUUUAGGAACUCUGCCACUGAUCAACCAGCACUGAACUCUGGACAGCUCCUGAGCAUGGCCUCAUGAGCAAAAGUGAGUGAGAAUCCCAGAGAC